AUUGAACGCUGGCGGCAGGCCUAACACAUGCAAGUCGAACGAGUGGCGGACGGGUGAGAAAUGUCUGGGAAACUGCCCGAGGGAGGGGGAUAACUACUGGAAACGGUAGCUAAUACCGCAUACCAUCGGAUGUGCCCAGAUGGGAUUAGCUAGUAGGUGAGGGAACGGCUCACCCAGGCGACGACACCUAGCUGGUCUGAGAGGAUGACCAGCCACACUGGAACUGAGACACGGUCCAGACUCCUACGGGAGGCAGCAGUGGGGAAUAUUGCACAAUGGGCGCAAGCCUGAUGCAGCCAGGCCGCGUGUAUGAAGAAGGCCUUCGGGUUGUAAAGUACUUUCAGCGAGGAGGCGUUACUCGCAGAAGAAGCACCGGCUAACUCCGUGCCAGCAGCCGCGGUAAUAC
rnacentral:rRNA from 1 species